rnacentral:rRNA from 1 species
CCGGCGACCGGCGCACGGGUGAGUAACACGUAUGGAACCUGCCCGCAGCAGGGGGAUAAGCGGAAGAAAUUCCGUCUAAUACCGCGUAACAACGUUGGGAGGCAUCUCCCGAUGUUUAAAGAUUUAUCGGCUGCGGAUGGCCAUGCGGCGCAUUAGCUAGUCGGCGGGGUAACGGCCCACCGAGGCGACGAUGCGUAGGGGUUCUGAGAGGAAGGUCCCCCACAUUGGUACUGAGACACGGACCAAACUCCUACGGAAGGCAGCAG